AGUAAUACAUCGGAACGUGUCUUCAAGUGGGGGAUAACUGCCCGAAAGGGCAGCUAAUACCGCAUGAGACCUGAGGGUGAAAGCGGGGGAUCGCAAGACCUCGCGCUGGAAGAGCGGCCGAUGUCCGAUUAGCUAGUUGGUGAGGUAAAGGCUCACCAAGGCGACGAUCGGUAGCUGGUCUGAGAGGACGACCAGCCACACUGGGACUGAGACACGGCCCAG
rnacentral:rRNA from 1 species